rnacentral:tRNA from 1 species
AAAAAUUUAGUUAAAAUAUAACAUUAGUUUGUCAAACUAAAAUUAUUAAAAUUUGAUAAUUUUUG